rnacentral:rRNA from 1 species
UACGUAGGGCGCAAGCGUUGUCCGGAAUUAUUGGGCGUAAAGAGCUCGUAGGCGGCCUGUUACGUCUGCUGUGAAAUCCCGGGGCUUAACCCCGGGCGUGCAGUGGAUACGGGCGGGCUGGAGGCAGGCAGGGGAGAACGGAAUUCCCGGUGUAGCGGUGAAAUGCGCAGAUAUCGGGAGGAACACCGGUGGCGAAGGCGGGUCUCUGGGCCGAUACUGACACUGAGAAGCGAAAGCGUGGGGAGCGAACAGG